CCUACGGUGUGCUGCAGUGAGGAAUAUUGGUCAAUGGGCGCGAGCCUGAACCAGCCAAGUCGCGUGCAGGACGACGGCUCUACGAGUUGUAAACUGCUUUUGUACCGGGGUAAAAUGCCUUACGUGUAGGGUUUUGAAAGUACGGUACGAAUAAGGAUCGGCUAACUCCGUGCCAGCAGCCGCGGUAAUACGGAGGAUCCGAGCGUUAUCCGGAUUCAUUGGGUUUAAAGGGUGCGUAGGUUGUUUUAUAAGUUAGCGGUGAAAUACCGAUGCUCAACAUCGGGGCUGCCGCUAAUACUGUAGGACUAGAGAUCGGAUGCAGCAGGCGGAAUGUGUAGUGUAGCGGUGAAAUGCAGAGAUAUUACACAGAACACCGAUUGCGAAGGCAGCUUGCUAGGCCGGAUCUGACACUGAUGCACGAAAGCGUGGGGAUCGAACAGGAUUAGAUACCCCGGUAGUC
rnacentral:rRNA from 1 species